rnacentral:lncRNA from 1 species
GCACGAUGUCUUUCUGAACUCCCCCGACCGUCUGAGCUUCCACAAUGCCAUCUGGACUUCUCCAAUAAUGAGCUCCCCCAUUCAUCUACCGGGCUGUUCCAAAUGCUUUCCGAGCUUCUCCAACAGCAAGACGUCUACAGUAACCAAACUCCAUCCAAGUUUCUACAAUGGUCGACCGUCUUUCGGAUUUCAUCCGAGCUCUUAUAAGAGUUGGACUCCAUCUGAACUUCUACAGUGGAUGGAUCACAGACGAACUCCUACAACGGACAGGCUCCACCAGCCGGAUCUCUACUUCGAACUUCUUUCAGACUUCGUCAAUGAUCGAGCUUCUCCAGCAGCGGGACUUCUGCAGUAAGAAGUCUCCAUCCGAGCUUCCACAAUAACUGAUCUUCGUCCGAGCUUCUACAAUAAGCAGACUUCAUCCAGACUCCUACAAGAGUCGGACUCUAUCCGAACUUCUACAACAGAAUUAAAUCUCGGACUCCUCCAACGUUCGACUUUCUCCGGUGUCCUCAAGACUCUCUCAGCGGACGAACCUCCACAACACCAUCUGAACUCCACUGUCAGACGACCCCCUGUCAGAUUCCUCAUGAAACUGGACCUCUCCGACGGACAAUCUUCAGACGAGCUUCCACAUCAGGCAAAU